GACGAACGCUGGCGGCGUGCUUUACACAUGCAAGUCGAGCGAGGCCGGGUAGCAAUACCCGAGUCGAGCGGCGCACGGGUGAGUAACGCGUGGAUGACCUGCCUGAGGGUGGGGGAUAACCCGGGGAAACUCGGGCUAAUACCGCAUAAAACCGAGAGGUCAAAGGGGGCCGCAAGGCUCUCGCCUGCAGAGGGGUCCGCGUCCGAUUAGCUAGUUGGCAGGGUAAUGGCCUACCAAGGCGACGAUCGGUAGCCGGCCUGAGAGGGUGAUCGGCCACACUGGAACUGAGACACGGGCCAGACUCCUACGGGAGGCAGCAGUGGGGAAUUUUGCGCAAUGGGCGAAAGCCUGACGCAGCAACGCCGCGUGGAGGAUGAAGGUCUUCGGAUUGUAAACUCCUGUCAGUGGGGAAAAGGGGAACGUGCUCAUACCACGUUUCAUUGAUUGUACCCGCAGAGGAAGCCCCGGCUAACUCUGUGCCAGCAGCCGCGGUAAAAC
rnacentral:rRNA from 1 species